GAAAACCAGUCGUCAACCUGGAAUAGGAUUCAGUGCAGCUGCUCCGAGAUUAGAGAGAGAGAGAGUUAGCCACUAUCACUUGGAAAUAACCCCAAAACAAAAUAUUAAAAUAUACCUGAAAUUACGAAAAUCAGAGUGCAAUUGAGGUGUUACUGAAUUUGAAAUACUUACGCACCCAAGUCGGUACAAGCGUUGUAUAACUCUCUUCUUUCACCUGAAGCUCAACUAGUUUACCCCUGGAACCAUGGAGCGCUUCAUCUGAAUUUUCAGAAGAUCAGCCUUACAUCAGUCAAUAGGGUGCUCCCCUUACAAAGCCUUAUUCGGGAUGAAUAUGAUCAAUCACGGGGAUGACUAUAAACUAUUAAAGGAAAUGUCGAUAUUGGAAGAGUCACCUAGGUUAGAGCGCGAGGAUCACCUGCAGUCAUUUCAGAAACAAUUUCAAUAAAAAGUUGGCUUCCCAGUUCUCCAAGUGUAGAGUCAAACAAAAGCGAGGAAAUGCCUACUAUAUACUGGAAUCUCCACAAGGCAAAGAAAUCGGAACAUAUGCUAAAGACGUACGUAGCUAAUUACAGCUAAUCAUUCCUCGCCAGGUUCGUCAGAUUACCUGGUGGGUGUAAUGUACCAACCUUAAGAUCUUUAAAGAAAAUUUUCGAAAAGUAACUGAUAAUAAAGCCAGCACUCGUACUUAUCCGAGUUAUUUACCGGAGUAUGUAACCCCAUGUAAUCACAAGCAAAAUUGCCUUAAUAAAGACGUCAUUCUGUUUCGAGAACUCUAAGUGAAAGGUUGGCUUCAAAAACUUAGUCCAACUUUAAUUUCUGGCCAUACCACGUGCAGUCGAAAGUCACAUAAAUCUUUAUCAUCAGUGAUUGUUAAGGCUCGUGUAUGGUAAAACACAAUGAAAUAUCCAACUAGGC